AGAAGGCUAAGUGUACCAAACUUCUUUCAUUCUUUCAUGACAUACAUCCGAUUCCCAGAACAGGUUGCCUUGACCCUGUGAACUGAUUGGAAUGAAGUGCAGAACCUAGAAUCCUGAAAGGCUACACAAAUCUAAAAACAAUUUGUUCUAGCUAGUAUUGACCAUCUCAAAUUUAUUUGUCAAAAUAUGAAAUUUAUAGCCAUGUUAUUAACUAUUGUCGACAGUUGUCUAUACAAAUUGGUCAUGUCAAAGAAACAGUACUGCCAGAAAUGUAAAAGCAGCACUGCCAGAAAUUGAUGUAAGCUGACUAGGAAAAUGGUUUUUGCUCAGAUUGUUCAGCAGACGACAUUUGAUUUGAUUGACACUUUAAACAGGAAAGAAAUCUACACAUUUUCAAAAUGGUUGAAAAAAUGAAUUUUAAGCCUAGAUCUUUCUCUCUGUACCAACCGAGCUAAUGAAGACCAGCGUACAUCAAGGAUCUGGCAAUAAGUUGGUUUUCCAAGCCAGGGGAGUAUAGUGUUUAAAUGUUUAUGUAUCAUAGGUAAAGCCAUUCAAUUAUUUUGAUCUUGUUGGUUAAACGUUUGAGUUAAUUAUGCAUGGGCCCAUGUUGUCAUUUUGC